rnacentral:rRNA from 1 species
CGACGCCGCGUGAGGGAUGACGGCCUUCGGGUUGUAAACCUCUUUCAGUAGGGAAGAAGCGAAAGUUACGGUACCUGCAGAAGAAGCGCCGGCUAACUACGUGCCAGCAGCCGCGGUAAUACGUAGGGCGCAAGCGUUAUCCGGAUUUAUUGGGCGUAAAGAGCUCGUAGGCGGUUUGUCGCGUCUGCCGUGAAAGUCCGAGGCUCAACCUCGGAUCUGCGGUGGGUACGGGCAGACUAGAGUGAUGUAGGGGAGACUGGAAUUCCUGGUGUAGCGGUGAAAUGCGCAGAUAUCAGGAGGAACACCGAUGGCGAAGGCAGGUCUCUGGGCAUUUACUGACGCUGAGGAGCGAAAGCAUGGGGAGCGAACAGGAUUAGAUACCCUGGUAGUCCAUGCCGUAAACGUUGGGCACUAG